rnacentral:rRNA from 1 species
UACGAAGGGGGCUAGCGUUGCUCGGAAUCACUGGGCGUAAAGCGCACGUAGGCGGCUUUUUAAGUCAGGGGUGAAAUCCCAGAGCUCAACUCUGGAACUGCCUUUGAUACUGGGUAUCUUGAGUAUGGAAGAGGUAAGUGGAAUUGCGAGUGUAGAGGUGAAAUUCGUAGAUAUUCGCAGGAACACCAGUGGCGAAGGCGGCUUACUGGUCCAUUACUGACGCUGAGGUGCGAAAGCGUGGGGAGCAAACAGGG